UACGGAGGGAGCUAGCGUUGUUCGGAAUUACUGGGCGUAAAGCGCACGUAGGCGGCUUUUUAAGUCAGGGGUGAAAUCCCGGGGCUCAACCCCGGAACUGCCCUUGAAACUGGAAAGCUAGAAUCUUGGAGAGGCGAGUGGAAUUCCGAGUGUAGAGGUGAAAUUCGUAGAUAUUGGGAAGAACACCGGUGGCGAAGGCGGCUCACUGGCUCGUAACUGACGCUCAUGCACGACAGCGUGGGGAUCAAACAGG
rnacentral:rRNA from 1 species